AGUGAACGCUGGCGGUAGGCCUAACACAUGCAAGUCGAACGGCAGCACAGCAGUAGCAAUACUGUGGGUGGCGAGUGGCGGACGGGUGAGGAAUACAUCGGAAUCUACCUUUUCGUGGGGGAUAACGUAGGGAAACUUACGCUAAUACCGCAUACGACCUUAGGGUGAAAGCGGAGGACCUUCGGCGUUCGCGCGGAUAGAUGAGCCGAUGUCGGAUUAGCUAGUUGGCGGGGUAAAGGCCCACCAAGGCUACGAUCCGUAGCUGGUCUGAGAGGAUGAUCAGCCACACUGGAACUGAGACACGGUCCAGACUCCUACGGGAGGCAGCAGUGGGGAAGUAUUGGACAAUGGGCGCAAGCCUGAUCCAGCCAUACCGCGUGGGUGAAGAAGGCCU
rnacentral:rRNA from 1 species